CCUCCUCACCCCGGCAGCGUCUUCGAUCUGAAGGAUCUAACCAGCACAGCAGAAAACACGGUCAGAGUGGGAAGAGCAGAGGUGUUUUGCCCAGCAGACCUCCCCUGGUGAGAGCACAAGCCCAGCCUCCCCCACUGCUCGCCUCAGCACCAUCCCCAUCAGGUGCUACCUUCCCGGCCUGUGCGAGGACCCUCUUUGCAGCCGCAGCCAGCCUCUCCCUGUGGCUAGGGAUGUCCGGGUGUGCGCAGAGCUCGCGGGCUGCCAGCAGCACGUGUCUCCCCGCCAGGACGAGGGACUCGGCUGCAGGACGCGUCUCCUCCUUGUACACCUCAUCGCCAGGCCUCCUCAGCCAACCUGCAGGAGAAGCCACGGGGCUCAGCUCAUCCGUCCCUUCUGGCUUUGGAUCCCAAGGGGAUAUCGGAAACGUUCCUGGAUCUAAUUUCUCCCAGUCUUGCAAUGAGUAGAAAUAAUUAACGGCACGUCCUGCAUUCGCUGUGCAAUCACACCGUCAGCCAGCACGGCAAACAUCCUGCAGCAAACCUUAAAAUGUGCCACGAGGCGGACCCCUUCGUGCUGGGGGAGGCCUGCCCAGCUCACUCCCUCGCACCAGGAUCCUGGCAAGGUGCAGAAAUUCGGGUGCCCCUGCUGGAGGAAGCACCUCAGGGGCUGCGGGGAGUGGAGCACAGCACGAACCUGCCGGAGAGGCCACGCGGAGACCCUGCGGGCAGCGGUGACGUUCUCCCGGGGCUGGGGGGCACCGAGAGCGUGGCCCCUUCCCAGCCAGCUCUGAAGGAUGCCAUCAGCGUUGCGUUGUGCACAUGCAAAUAGCUCUAGGGGCAGGGAUACAGACCCAUAUAAGCGAAUUAAUUAUAUAUUAAUGAAUUCCUGCUGCAGGCGCUUUGAAAAACAGGUGGAGAAGAAACACGUGCUGUCAGUACGGCGAAAGCCUCCUCCAGAUGGCAGGUUUGGGGGGUUGCAGCCCUGUUUUGGAGCUGCCAAUCAAAACGGGGUGUAUUUUUAACCGGGGAGUCGACACCAUGAUUUUCUGGCGUUGCAGAAGCACCGCGAUGUCACCUUUAACAGCACACGGGCAAGGAGGGGAGAAGGCGAGGAGGCAGCGUGAUCCGAGUGUUUCCAUGGAGAAGCAGUGACGGCACAGCACCCGGCGGGGAGGCUGGCGUGGGGCUCGCCGGGAGCUGUAGUCCAGAGGCACAGAGCCAGGGGUAGCAAAGUCGAGCCCAAAUCGUGAACCCCGCCGGGAACUGAGGUGAGUUGCUGACCCAUGGCAGCACCGGCCGCUUUCUGUCGUGGGGAAGAGGGAGUGGGAUUAACAGGGGACCUUGGGGAGGCUGGGAGCUGGGAGGACGGUGUUGGUUUUUGCUCCCAGACUGAGCCUGGAUGAAUUUGCCACUCGGCAGCUGUUUGGUCACCUUCGCAAAAUGAGUGGAUGGGCCUGAGUUAGGUUUUAGUAGCUUCGUGUCACGAAUUAGUGCUGUCUCAGCCCACUGAAACACCUGGAGCAGAUGGACCCAGGGAGAGAAUUCUCCCUCCCAAAUCAGCCUGGGGGCCGUGGUGGAGCAGCUGCCGUGCGGACCGACAGAGCCGCCCGGUCCUGCCACGGGCAGCCACGUGGCGAGGGCACUGGUGCUGAACCGAAUCAGGAGGGACUCGGCUGUAGUUUGGGGCUGGGACACAAAUGUGUGGGAGACAGAAAAUGGGCACGCUUCCUGCCUGUGCUUCUGGGUUUUUCUGUAGCCCUUCGCUUGAUGAAGAGUGGCCCCAGGAACAGACCUUUCUGCCCAGAGCCUAACCUUCAGCUUUACCUCCUGUGUUAAAGCUUCAGGAAUCCUGUGGAAACUAAGAGAGGAACGUAAAAAAGCAGAGCCAAAUCUAAAAACAAACAAACUGAUUAAGGAGGCAUUGGGGAGGCAAGGACAAUCCCCAGCCAAGGACUGUGUAUCUCGAAACAAGACACUGGAACUCAUGAUAAGGAAGCGGCAGACGGACAGAGAA